GACGAACGCUGGCGGCGUGCUUAACACAUGCAAGUCGAACGAUGAAGCCGGAGCUUGCUCUGGUGGAUUAGUGGCGAACGGGUGAGUAACACGUGAGUAACCUGCCCUUGACUCUGGGAUAAGCGUUGGAAACGACGUCUAAUACCGGAUACGAGCUAGGACCGCAUGGUCACUAGCUGGAAAGAACUUCGGUCAAGGAUGGACUCGCGGCCUAUCAGUUAGUUGGUGAGGUAACGGCUCACCAAGACGACGACGGGUAGCCGGCCUGAGAGGGUGACGGGCCACACUGGGACUGAGACACGGCCCAGACGCCUACGGGAGGCAGCAGUGGGGAAUAUUGCACAAUGGGCGCAAGCCUGAUGCAGCAACGCCGCGUGAGGGACGUCGGCCUUCGGGUUGUAAACCUCUUUUAGCAGGGAAGAAGCGAAAGUGACGGUACCUGCAGAAAAAGGACCGGCUAACUACGUGCCAGCAGCCGCGGUAA
rnacentral:rRNA from 1 species